rnacentral:rRNA from 1 species
CGCGUAGGCGGCUUUGUAAGUCGGAUGUGAAAGCCCUGGGCUUAACCUGGGAAUUGCAUUCGAUACUGCUUAGCUAGAGUAUGGUAGAGGGAAGUGGAAUUUCCGGUGUAGCGGUGAAAUGCGUAGAUAUCGGAAGGAACACCAGUGGCGAAGGCGACUUCCUGGGCCAAUACUGACGCUGAGGCGCGAAAGCGUGGGGAGCAAACAGGAUUAGAUACCCUGGUAGUCCACGCCGUAAACGAUGAGAACUAGAUGUCGGGGGAACUUAGUCUCCCGGUGUCGCAGCUAACGCGUUAAGUUCUCCGCCUGGGGAGUACGCCGGCAACGGUAAA